CCUACGGGAGGCAGCAGUGAGGAAUAUUGGUCAAUGGCCGGAAGGCUGAACCAGCCAUGCCGCGUGAAGGUCAGUGCCCUAUGGGCGUUAAACUUCUUUUGUGCGUGCGCAAUAAUGGUCACGUUUGGCCAGACGAGAGUACCGUACGAAAAAGCAUCGGCUAACUGCGUUCCAGACGCCGCGGGAAUACGGGGGAUGCAAGGGUUAUCCGGAAUUAUUGGGUUUAAAGGGUGCGUAGGCUGUGAGGUAAGUCAGCGGUGAAAUGCCCCCGCUCAACGGGGUGAAGUGCCAUUGAAACUGCCUUGCUGGAAUGCGGAUGCCGUGGGAGGAAUGUGUGGUGUAGCGGUGAAAUGCAUAGAUAUCACACAGAACACCGAUUGCGAAGGCAUCUCACGAAUCCGCGAUUGACGCUGAUGCACGAAAGCGUGGGUAUCAAACAGGAUUAGAUACCCGGGUAGUC
rnacentral:rRNA from 1 species